rnacentral:rRNA from 2 species
AAAUUGAAGAGUUUGAUCAUGGCUCAGAUUGAACGCUGGCGGCAGGCCUAACACAUGCAAGUCGAACGGUAGCACAGAGAGCUUGCUCUCGGGUGACGAGUGGCGGACGGGUGAGUAAUGUCUGGGAAACUGCCUGAUGGAGGGGGAUAACUACUGGAAACGGUGGCUAAUACCGCAUAACGUCGCAAGACCAAAGAGGGGGACCU